rnacentral:rRNA from 1 species
UACAGAGGUCCCAAGCGUUGUUCGGAUUCACUGGGCGUAAAGGGUGCGUAGGCGGUCGGGUAAGUCUGACGUGAAAUCUUCAAGCUCAACUUAGAAACUGCGUCGGAUACUAUUCGGCUAGAGGAAUGGAGGGGAGACUGGAAUACUUGGUGUAGCAGUGAAAUGCGUAGAUAUCAAGUGGAACACCAGUGGCGAAGGCGAGUCUCUGGACAUUUCCUGACGCUGAGGCACGAAAGCCAGGGGAGCAAACGGG